GGGUUGUGAGGUUAAGCGACUAAGCGUACACGGUGGAUGCCCUGGCAGUCAGAGGCGAUGAAGGACGUGCUAAUCUGCGAUAAGCGCCGGUAAGGUGAUAUGAACCGUUAUAACCGGCGAUUUCCGAAUGGGGAAACCCAGUGUGAUUCGUCACACUAUCAUUAACUGAAUCCAUAGGUUAAUGAGGCGAACCGGGGGAACUGAAACAUCUAAGUACCCCGAGGAAAAGAAAUCAACCGAGAUUCCCCCAGUAGCGGCGAGCGAACGGGGAGGAGCCCAGAGCCUGAAUCAGCAUGUGUGUUAGUGGAAGCGUCUGGAAAGGCGCGCGAUACAGGGUGACAGCCCCGUACACAAAAGCGCAUGUGCUGUGAGCUCGAUGAGUAGGGCGGGACACGUGGUAUCCUGUCUGAAUAUGGGGGGACCAUCCUCCAAGGCUAAAUACUCCUGACUGACCGAUAGUGAACCAGUACCGUGAGGGAAAGGCGAAAAGAACCCCGGCGAGGGGAGUGAAAAAGAACCUGAAACCGUGUACGUACAAGCAGUGGGAGCCCCACCACCAAAGCAUUUGCUGUACCAUGUUGACGGAGCGAAGCGACGUCAAACCGAUAAAACAGCAGUGUAAAGUGAGCCGCAGGGCGCUUUGCGCGACAGCGCAAAGGCAGGCGGUUUCGCGUAGCGAAAGCGAAUGCUUUGGGGUGGGGUGACUGCGUACCUUUUGUAUAAUGGGUCAGCGACUUAUAUUCUGUAGCAAGGUUAACCGAAUAGGGGAGCCGGAGGGAAACCGAGUCUUAACCGGGCGUUAAGUUGCAGGGUAUAGACCCGAAACCCGGUGAUCUAGCCAUGGGCAGGUUGAAGGUUGGGUAACACUAACUGGAGGACCGAACCGACUAAUGUUGAAAAAUUAGCGGAUGACCUGUGGCUGGGGGUGAAAGGCCAAUCAAACCGGGAGAUAGCUGGUUCUCCCCGAAAGCUAUUUAGGUAGCGCCUCGUGAAUUCAUCUCCGGGGGUAGAGCACUGUUUCGGCUAGGGGGCCAUCCCGGCUUACCAACCCGAUGCAAACUGCGAAUACCGGAGAAUGUUAUCACGGGAGACACACGGCGGGUGCUAACGUCCGUCGUGAAGAGGGAAACAACCCAGACCGCCAGCUAAGGUCCCAAAGUCAUGGUUAAGUGGGAAACGAUGUGGGAAGGCCCAGACAGCCAGGAUGUUGGCUUAGAAGCAGCCAUCAUUUAAAGAAAGCGUAAUAGCUCACUGGUCGAGUCGGCCUGCGCGGAAGAUGUAACGGGGCUAAACCAUGCACCGAAGCUGCGGCAGCGAACGUAUCACUUAAAGCGAUUCAGCGGGUUACGAUUGACGGAGCGAAGCGACGUCAAAGCGUAUACAAAGUCGAGUCGGUUUAAGGAUACGUUCGUUGGGUAGGGGAGCGUUCUGUAAGCCUGUGAAGGUGGCCUGUGAGGGUUGCUGGAGGUAUCAGAAGUGCGAAUGCUGACAUAAGUAACGAUAAAGCGGGUGAAAAGCCCGCUCGCCGGAAGACCAAGGGUUCCUGUCCAACGUUAAUCGGGGCAGGGUGAGUCGACCCCUAAGGCGAGGCCGAAAGGCGUAGUCGAUGGGAAACGGGUUAAUAUUCCCGUACUUGGUGUUACUGCGAAGGGGGGACGGAGAAGGCUAUGUUGGCCGGGCGACGGUUGUCCCGGUUUAAGCGUGUAGGUGUGUGUUCCAGGUAAAUCCGGUUCACUUUAACACUGAGGCGUGAUGACGAGGCACUACGGUGCUGAAGCAACAAAUGCCCUGCUUCCAGGAAAAGCCUCUAAGCAUCAGGUAACAUCAAAUCGUACCCCAAACCGACACAGGUGGUCAGGUAGAGAAUACCAAGGCGCUUGAGAGAACUCGGGUGAAGGAACUAGGCAAAAUGGUGCCGUAACUUCGGGAGAAGGCACGCUGACACGUAGGUGAAGUGAUUUACUCACGGAGCUGAAGUCAGUCGAAGAUACCAGCUGGCUGCAACUGUUUAUUAAAAACACAGCACUGUGCAAACACGAAAGUGGACGUAUACGGUGUGACGCCUGCCCGGUGCCGGAAGGUUGAGUGAGGGGGUAAGCGCAAGAGAAGCUCCUGAUCGAAGCCCCGGUAAACGGAGGCCGUAACUAGAACGGUCCUAAGGUAGCGAAAUUCCUUGUCGGGUAAGUUACGACCUGCACGAAUGGCGUAAUGAUGGCCAGGCUGGCUCCACCCGAGACUCAGUGAAAUUGAACUCGCUGUGAAGAUGCAGUGUACCCGCGGCAAGACGGAAAGACCCCGUGAACCUUUACUAUAGCUUGACACUGAACAUUGAGCCUUGAUGUGUAGGAUAGGUGGGAGGCUUUGAAGCGUGGACGCCAGUCUGCGUGGAGCCAACCUUGAAAUACCACCCUUUAAUGUUUGAUGUUCUAACGUGGACCCGUGAUCCGGGUUGCGGACAGUGUCUGGUGGGUAGUUUGACUGGGGCGGUCUCCUCCUAAAGAGUAACGGAGGAGCACGAAGGUUGGCUAAUCCUGGUCGGACAUCAGGAGGUUAGUGCAAUGGCAUAAGCCAGCUUGACUGCGAGCGUGACGGCGCGAGCAGGUGCGAAAGCAGGUCAUAGUGAUCCGGUGGUUCUGAAUGGAAGGGCCAUCGCUCAACGGAUAAAAGGUACUCCGGGGAUAACAGGCUGAUACCGCCCAAGAGUUCAUAUCGACGGCGGUGUUUGGCACCUCGAUGUCGGCUCAUCACAUCCUGGGGCUGAAGUAGGUCCCAAGGGUAUGGCUGUUCGCCAUUUAAAGUGGUACGCGAGCUGGGUUUAGAACGUCGUGAGACAGUUCGGUCCCUAUCUGCCGUGGGCGCUGGAGAACUGAGGGGGGCUGCUCCUAGUACGAGAGGACCGGAGUGGACGCAUCACUGGUGUUCGGGUUGUCAUGCCAAUGGCACUGCCCGGUAGCUAAAUGCGGAAGAGAUAAGUGCUGAAAGCAUCUAAGCACGAAACUUGCCCCGAGAUGAGUUCUCCCUGAGACUUAGAGUCUCCUGAAGGAACGUUGAAGACGACGACGUUGAUAGGCCGGGUGUGUAAGCGCAGCGAUGCGUUGAGCUAACCGGUACUAAUGAACCGUGAGGCUUAACCUUACAACGCCGAAG
rnacentral:rRNA from 1 species